CUGGGGUUCAAUCCACGGUUCCACAAAAAAAAAAAAAAAAAAAGAUUAGCAUGGCCUCUGCACAAGGAUGACAUGCAAAUUGGUGACGUGUUCCAUAUUUUA